GGAGCUGGCGGGGCUCAUUGAGAGGGCUUUAAACUAGGUAAGAUAGGGGAUGGGGCUGAAACAAGGUUUGUUGGAGCUGUGCCGGAGGAACAAUGGCAAGGCCAGGGGAGAAAGCAAUGGCCCAGCUGAAGUGCAUCUACACUAAUGCACGCAUCAUGAGUAACAAACAGGAGGAGCUGGAAGCCAUCGUGCAGCAGGCAGGCUACGACUUGGUUGCCAUCACGGAGACGUGGUGUGACCACUCUCAAGACUGGAGUGCUGCAAUGCCUGGCUAUAGGCUCUUCAGAAGGGACAGGCAGCAUGGAAGGGGUGGUGGUGUGGCUCUCUAUAUCAGAGAGUUUUGAUGUUGUGGAACUCCAGGCUGGGAAUGAUAAGGUUGAGUCCCUUUGGGUUAGGAUCGGUGAGAAGGCCAAUAAGGCAAGCAUCCUGGUUGGGGUCUGUUAUAGACCGCUGAACCAGGAUGAGGAGACGGAUGAGGAGUUCUACAGGCAGCUGACAGAAGCUUCAAAAUCGUCGGUGCUUGUUCUCGUGGGGGACUUCAACUUCCCUAACAUAUCCUGGAAGCACAACACAGCCCAGAGAAAGCAGUCUAGGAGGUUUCUGGAGAGCUUGGAAGAGAGCUUCCUGACCCAGCUGGUUAGUGAGCCUACCAGGGGUGGUGCCCUGCUAGACCUUCUGUUCACAAACAGAGAAGGACUGGUGGGGAACGUGGUGGUUGGAAACUGUCUUGGGCAGAGUGACCACGAAAUGGUGGAGUUCUCUAUUCUUGGCGAGGCCAGGAAGGGGACCAGUAAAACCGCUGUAUUGGACUUCCGGAGGGCUGACUUUGAGCUGCUCAGGACACUGGUUGGCAGAGUCCCUUGGGAGGUGGUUCUGAAGGGCAGAGGAGUCCAGGAAGGCUGGGCGCUCUUCAAGAAGGAAAUCUUAAUGGCUCAGGAGCGGUCUGUCCCCAUGUGCCCAAAGACGAGCCGGUGUGUAAGAAGACUGGCCUGGCUCAACAGAGAGUUGCAGCUUGAGCUUAGGAGAAAAAAGAGGGUUUAUAAUCUUUGGAAAAAAGGGUGGGCCACUGAGGAGGACUAUAAGGAUGUUACGAGGCUGUGCAGGGACAAAAUUAGAAAGGCCAAAGCUCAUCUGGAGC
rnacentral:lncRNA from 1 species